AUCAGAUCACCUUAAAUUAAUCAUUUUAAUAAAAGUUAAUAUUUACUAAAACGAUAAUUUUUGGUCUACGAAAAUCAAAAAAUGAGUUCGGGAGUCGGUUACGCACGAGGAAGGAUUAGCACCCUCGAUACGCCCAAAAUUGGUACCUAGUUGAUUAAUUAGUGUCUUAGUGUCGAAAAUUUGAAAACUUGAAAGAAUUUAAAAUACGAUCCCUCUUUGUAAAGAAAAUGCUCAAAUGUUAAAGACCUUCUCGCCUCACAAUAUAAAAUGUCACAUCCAGUAAGUUAGGACACGACAUCUUGAAUUUUUAAGAGCGAGCUUGCCUUUUAUAUAAAAUUUUGUGUAUUUCAAAAGAUUAUUCAGUUAGUUAAUGUGAACGAGGAAAAUCGAAACCCUGUAAGUUAGGGCACGUUUCCUCGAAUUUUCGAACACUGAAUAUUGCCUUUACUUGCAAAAAUCUUAUUUCGAGGUAACAAAAUGCCAUACCCGGUAAGUUAGGGCACAACACCUCGUAUCUCCGAGAAUAAGCAUUUUUCAAAACUCAUGUCGCGAUUUAAAAGAGUAUUCCGUUAUUUAGGUUAAAGGAGAAAAAUCGAAACCC
rnacentral:lncRNA from 1 species